rnacentral:lncRNA from 1 species
AGGAGGGUAUGAGUUCGAGCCCAGGAGGUUGACGUUGCAGUGUGCUAUGAUUGUGCCACUGCAGUCUAGUCUAGGGUGACAUUGUUUAAAACUGUUCAAACACACACAAAGUGAAAAUUGUAAGUGCUCUUCUAAAAGCAUUGCAUGUUGGAAAAUUAGACUAGGAGGCACUUUGACAUCUUUUUAGACCACAGAUUUCUGGGGAAGCCAGAAAGGAGCUGGGGUGGCAAAACUAGGAGCACAAGGAAUGCCUCAUUAGCUGUGCUGGGGGGCCAAGGGUGUGGAGAAUAAGCCAGGCACCAGGAAAAGGCAGCUGCCAUUCUCUCGCAUACCCGGCACACCUUGCUGGGAUGUUGGUAUACCAUGGGUAAAAUGCCAAACCUAGCGCCAUCUCUUCUUUAACCCCCUACAGUACUUUGUUUGUACUUUUCUUAGGGUACUCAUGUUGCCCGCCUCCCUUUAUAGAUGCUCAUAUUUAAUCCUUCCAAAAACAUGUGCCCUGAUGCCAAGGGCAAGAUCUUCCCCAAGCCUUGGGGGUGUGAGGCCCUGAAGUUGAAACUUCAAGAACUUCAAGGGUAAAUAGCCUGUGGUCUUUGCAAGUGGCUGGCGAAGGUGUCAAAGAGAUGGGACUCACCCUUGACUGAGCCUGGAAGACUGGGCAGAAUUUGGAAAGACAAAAUAAAAAGGGCCGUGUGGCAGGAUGAACAAAGACAUUUAAUAUUGCCAGAGGCCUGCUUGGGGAGCCCGUGAGCAAACCAGUCCAAUUGGACAGAAACGUUGCAAAGUCCAGGUGGAAAGAGGAAGGCUGGAAAGUCAGCUGAAGUCAGUUGGGGGUGGUGGGGGUGGGCCUUGAGUGUAGGCUGACAUCUGAAUUCUAUUUCACUAGUUAUAGGAGCCAUGGAUGUUUAUUUUUUAAAUGCAGUUCAUUGACUUGAAGAAAACAAUGUCUUAGGAAGAUUAGCCUGGUUUUAUUGUUCAAGGCAAUGAAGCAGGAGGCACUUACAAAAGUCCAGGCUUGGGUGAUAAGGGCCUAAACUUAGGCUGUUGAUGAAACCCAGGUUGUAGCCGUGCGAAUGAAAAGGAAAUACCUAACUCAGUGGAUUUUGGUGAUUUUUAGAGACCAAGAAGAGAAGGAUUCCAAGAUGAUUGAGGUUUCUGCUGAGUAUUAGAGAAUAACUGUAUCAUUAAGAGAUAUGAGAAGGUUAAGAGGGCCAGAUUUGAAGGAGAAAAUAGAAGUGGAGGAUUUUAGAUAUUUCAGACUAGAGAUGAUGGGAGAACUAUGAAUUUUGAGAUGGUCUUAGGGAACUGAGGGCUGGAGACUGAUUUGGUAAUCAGAAGCACCCAUUUAUUCAUUCAUGCCAUAGGAAUUUGGCUGGUAACCUCUGGAAAAAUCAGCCCUGUGUUGCAUGUCAAAAGGGAUGUAACAGAUGAAGUGGUCCCUCCCUUCGAGAGCUGGUUGGUCAAUGGAACAGGACUUGCUGUAACCAGUGCUGAAUAAGCUCACCAGCAUCCAGCCUGAGAUGAGGGGGGGAAGUCUGAGAGGCUUUGUCUGUCACUUUCAAUUAACCAGGAUCAACCAAGGUAAGCUUCUUGUCCUGACUGCUGAAAAGUUCUCACCCUAAAGAAUCCUACCUUCCCCGAUGCAAGAUGGAAAAUUGCUCAAACACUUAAAGCUAUUCUCAAUGAGAAACAAAAAAAGGACCACAGAUACAAAGUAAGAUCCUUUUGUUUAUUAGAAGCUAUUUCCACAAACUGAACAAUUUGGAGACUGAGCAUCCUUACACUGUGUAUGUAGCUCUAGCAAAUCCUACUAUUUUACUCUCCUAGCUCAGAUUCCUUUGUAAAAAGUCAGAUGCUGCUGAUGUUCAUGAGGCUUCUCUUCUGGCACCAGGGCAGACAAGACAACCUGAAGGGCUUUCUGCAACAAAAUGCCUAGAAAAUGUUGGGUGCAAUUUAUAAAACAUAAUUUUAAUGCAUAGCUGAGCUCACAGGAAGGUAAUGGAAACCCCCAGGAGUCAGAAGGCCAAGGGGACAGAACUCUGGAGAAUGAAGCAUAAGUGCCUGCUGUAGCUGCCUUGAAGGUGGAAGGGUAUGGUAGGAUGGGGCUGUUUUAGGAAAUACACAGGGAAAAGUGACAGAAACCUUUGGCCUUGCCUAUGGGUUGUUGGAACUAAGAACAGUCUCUUGCCUCAGCACCUAGGUAAUCCUCCGCCCACACAGAUAUUUGAAGCCAGUGACACUGUCCUCCUAAAAUGUCUCUGGAUUUGCCGUCAGGAUUUGCUGUAGGAUGUGUUUUGUAACUCAACCUGUGAUCUGUCCUCCAAAGGACAGCCUCAGGAACGUGGGGAAUCUGAUCGCCUGUAUCCUACCUCUGUGUGGGCAGAGGAGCUGCUUUUUGUGUUCAGGGUGAUAAUGCAUUUUCUAUUUCAUUUAAAUUCACUCUCGGCCUUCUUUCCAGAUUAGUAGCAGGCCCAGUGUCUCUCCUGGGAAUACCCUAGUCCCCUUGAGUUGUCCCAAGAAUCGCUAGAGGUGGCUCAGUCCUGUUUCCCCGGGGAAAGGCCAAACCUCUCCAUUCUCUUGGCGAGAGUUAAGAACCAGCCACAAUUGUAAGCUGCCAUUGCUUCUGCUGCUUCCAUAGGGUGUUGCUGCUGACCCACUGAUCACAUAGAACCUGCAUUGCUGUAGAGCCGCCGACUCCCUUUCUUUAACCCUCGCCUUCCCUUUAAAAAACCUAAUGAGGAUGUCUCACAGCUAAACCUUAGAAACCAUGACCUUCACUGAAACUGGCUGAGUUUAAGGAGAGGCUCUUAGUCAUGGUCAGUUUCCCCUCUCCUCUGGCUCCCACCUCCCUUGGCCAUGCUGUGUCCCUUGAGGGAUGAGCACACCUGGCUGCUUCUCCAGACACUAGUCCCCUCCGAUUACCAGCUCUGGGCUGGGCUGACCACCUUCUCAACCAUCCUGGUCAGCAUCCUACGUUCUAUCUCUUACAGCAAACAACCAGCCUAUUUCCUUCAAUGCCUCCUUCACUGUUUCUUUGAGACUAGAGUAAUAUAAUGCUUUUAACAGUGGAAAGACUAUAAAAAAUGAAGUUAUCAAUACUCAAUAAGUGAGUACAUUCUCCCAAAUGAGAAAACUGGGCCUGUUUCAAUGUUUAUUUUAUUUGGUUAUUCAAGUCUCAACAUUCUUUCAAUCUAAAACAGUCCUCCCACCAGCCCUCCUUCCCCAGCCCUUUUUAAAUCCAUAGCAUUGAAGAGACCAGGUCAUUGUCUUAUAGAAUAUCCUUCAUUUUAGAUUUGCCUGAUUGUGUCUUCAUUCCCUAAACUUCCUAUAAACCAGCAGUUGGAUUUAAAGCCUUGAUAAGACCCAGGUGGAGGAUUUUUGGCAAGAACACAUUCCAGUUGACACUGUGUACUUACUUACUUCAUGUUGUAACUCAUAUCUGGUGGUUUCAUUAUGGGAUCUACUAGAAUAUACAGACCAUGGGCAGAUCAUAUACAAAAACAGAACUCUGACCCACAGUCUGCAGUAACCAGUCCAGGAAGCCAAACAACCCCUGUAGCCUUUGGUCCCAAAUGGCCCGGACUUGAUCAGUACCUGCCAGCUUCCCUAAUUCUUGCCUCUGUUUUGAAAAUCCUUUAGUAGGACCAACCAGAGAAGGCCAAAUAUGCUUCCCUAACCAAUCACAUAGGAUACCCUGCUUCUAGUUAGCUCACCCACAGCCUCCAGAUGCCAACAGCCUUUGAUCAAGGCUCACCUGAAGCCUCCCCUUUUCCCAGCAUAAAGCUUUCUCACUCCGCUGACUGCCUUUGAGUGUCUGCAAUGGCAAGUGACUGUGGCUGACUCUCUGUGUAUAUACCACACUGAGAAUAAGUAGCUGCUGCUCAUUUUCAUUUGGGUG